AUGAAGUUGUGGCUGAUCUGCAUCUUCCUUGUGUCUCUUUUAAAAGGUAUUCAGUGUGAGGUAAAGCUAGUGGAGUCUGGAGGAGGUUUGGUGCAGUCUGGAGCUUCCUUGAAACUCUCCUGUGCAGCCUCUGGAUUCACCUUCAGUGAUUUCUACAUGAACUGGAUCCGCCAACCUCCAGGAAAGGGGCUGGAGUGGAUUGCAGUGAGUAGAAACAAAGCUAACAGCUACACAGCAGAGUACAGCUCAUCAGUGAAUGGCAGGUUCACCAUCUCCAGAGAUAAUUCCAAAAGCAUCCUCUACCUGCAAAUGGACAGCAUGAAGCUUGAGGACACAGCCACUUACUACUGUGUAAAAGUUAUACACAGUGAGGGGGCUACAGUGUGA